CCUUAACCAAACCUGGAGUCCUGGGGUGGGGAAGAUAUUUUACUGGAAUACCCCUUAACCAAACAUGGAGUCCUGGGGUGGGGAAGAUGUUUUACUGGAAUACCCCUGAUGAUCUGUUUUCUAAUAUUCUGAUUGAUGGUAUCAUUUUCAGUCAGAACAUAUAAAUGAUCUAUUCUAUUUCCUCUGUUUAAGAAAAUGUUUAUUAAUUUUAAAUUUGUAUCAGCUCAAGAAGCUAAGAAAUAAUGAAAUCAAGAUGAGACCUAUUUUAAUUUAAAAUAAGCCUGAUGUUGAUUAUGUUGUGUGUUGGUUCUAUUGACUUGUAAGUGUGUGUGACUGUGUGGUGACUGGUUAUGAUAGAUAACUGAGGAGGUCCAUGUCAGAGUGCUCACUCAACAGCUGUAUAUCUUAUAUACCACUAAUAAAUCAUGUGCUACAAUAAAAUGAAAAUUGCCAUACUAUCAAACUGUGAUUUAGAAGCAAUAAAAUAAAUGAAGUAAUAAGCGUUUUAAUUAAGUACUGAACUGUUAUUAUUAAUUGUACAUUCCAAAUAUCUCAUGUAAAUUUACCUGCAUUAAAUCAUUUAGUUUCUUAUUAAUCAAAGCGCUGUAUACCAGGAUAAUCUCUAUAGUACAAUGUAUCACUAUUGCUGCUUGUUGUUGAUAUAGUAGUGCUUUGUAAUUUAUAAUCAUUUAGUUAUUUAUGUAUACAGUACAUAUUGCCUGUGUAUUGACAUGUACAAGAUUUGGUUGUUGUUUAUUUUUAUAAUGUCAAGCAUUUUGUAUCACUGUUGAUACCAGAUUAAGAUCAUUGUAUAUAAUAAAUUGUAUUUUCUUGAUAAAUGUUCAUUUACAUACUUCAAGUAAAUUGAAGAAUAAUUUGUUUGUGAUAGAUAAUACAAUGUCGUAUAACAACUCUAGUGUGAUGUCGGGGUUGUCAUACCAAUAUAACAACUCUAGUGUGAUGUCUGGGUUGUCGUACCAAUAUAACAACUCUAGUGUGAUGUCUGGGUUGUCGUACCAAUAUAACAACUCUAGUGUGAUGUCUGGGUUGUCGUACCAAUAUAACAACUCUAGUGUGAUGUCUGGGUUGUCGUACCAAUAUAACAACUCUAGUGUGAUGUCUGGGUUGUCGUACCAAUAUAACAACUCUAGUAUGAUGUCUGGGUUGUCAUACCGAUAUAACAACUCUAGUGUGAUGUCUGGGUUGUCAUACCGAUAUAACAACUCUAGUGUGAUGUCUGGGUUGUCAUACCAAUAUAACAACUCUAGUGUGAUGUCUGGGUUGUCAUACCAAUAUAACAACUCUAGUGUCAUGUCUGGGUUGUCGUACCAAUAUAACAUCUCUAGUGUGAUGUCUGGGUUGUCAUACCAGUAUAACAACUCUAGUGUGAUGUCUGGGUUGUCAUACCAAUAUAACAACUCUAGUGUGAUGUCUGGGUUGUCAUACCAAUAUAACAACUCUAGUGUGAUGUCGGGGUUGUCGUACCAAUAUAACAACUCUAGUGUGAUGUCUGGGUUGUCAUACCAAUAUAACAACUCUAGUGUGAUGUCUGGGUUGUCAUACCAAUAUAACAACUCUAGUGUGAUGUCUGGGUUGUCAUACCGAUAUAACAGCUCUAGUGUGAUGUCUGGGUUGUCGUACCAAUAUAACAGCUCUAGUGUGAUGUCUGGGUUGUCGUACCAAUAUAACAACUCUAGUGUGAUGUCUGGGUUGUCGUACCAAUAUAACAACUCUAGUGUGAUGUGUGGGUUGUCAUACCAAUAGAACAACUUAGUGUGAUGUCUGGGUUGUCAUACCGAUAUAACAACUCUAGUGUGAUGUCUGGGUUGUCAUACCAAUAUAACAACUCUAGUGUGAUGUCUGGGUUGUCGUACCAAUAUAACAACUCUAGUGUGAUGUCGGGGUUGUCGUACCAAUAUAACAACUCUAGUGUGAUGUCUGGGUUGUCGUACCAAUAUAACAACUCUAGUGUGAUGUCUGGGUUGUCAUUGGUAAAACUUUAUGGUGUUGGCUUCAGCAGUCAAAGUCAAAUACCAAUACUCAUUUAAUUGAUCUGAUCUGCUCUUCGGUAAGUUUGUACAACUGUUGUUCUUUAAUGAGAAGUGUUUAGUAACAGUUUUGUCAGUAUCAGGAAAUCACUUUAUUUAUGAUAAGGACAAUACCAGUCUCCAUUAAAAUUCUCAUUUUUCCAUUUUCAUUUAUGCUUACAUUCAUUCCAAAAAAGAAUCUAAUUUGCUUUUAUUCUCACAUCACUUUUGUGUAGUAAUACAUUUUGUGUAAUAAUUAACGACCACUUAGAAUACUGAUAAGUUAAAGGUACUCAUUGAAAGAUGUCAUGAAAUAUGUUUAUUAUGUGUAACUGUGAUUUUGCUGUAGGACAGAUGGAAGCAAGUGUACAUUAUUGGUGUGUCCACUGGCUAGUGUAGAUAAGGUUUACAUUCUAUAUACUUUGCACAUGUUGGUUUACAAAUAUAAAAAUGUCGUUUGUUUAUGUCAUAGCACUGCCGUCCACAACUGAUGAUUUUAGAAUCUCUUUAUUCUUAAUAUGCACAUCCAUCCUUCUACCCCCAUAGGAAAGUUAAUCCCACCUCAUCGUCCUUCUACUGUAAAGGUUUAUUAAUCCCACCCCAAGGAUGAUUUUUUUGAUGUCUGAGACAAAGUAUCUGACAUCUUAUCACAGAUAGGCCACUGUUUCAGAAAGGAAGCGAUAGUCUGGAGAUUAGAACUAAUGAUAGUGUCAAUAACCUUAUUUUUGUGAGAGAUUAAUUUCUGUUUGUUUCUGUGAGAUAAUUAUGUAAGUUACCGACUUAGAAAUCCCAACAUACCUCAUCACUCUGAUGCAUUAGUUUGAUGUUUGAUCUGAAGACUGAAAUGAACUUGUUGUUAACAACUUUCUCCUGUUCAACUGCUUACUCUUUUGCUACUACAUCUUGUAUGGAAGUUUCUAUCCACCAAUUCUCGGUUGUGAUCAUUUUAUUAUCGUUUUUAUUUUCCUGCCAUUGCUGUUGUAAUCAUGCAAGUUGGCUUUACAAGUGAACGAUACAUACUGGGAUAUAAUUAUAUGAUAAGUGUAUAAUUAUAUAAUUGGUUAUUGGUGUCUAAGUGUAUAGUACUAUUAUCGUAUGUUAAUUAUAUGGUACUAAUGAUGACAAAUUGUAUACAACAUAUCUCUUCAGCCGUCCAACUUCUUAACUUGUGAAAUGAAUGAUUUCCAAUAAAAUGG